GACGGACGCUGGCGGCGUGCCUAAUACAUGCAAGUCGAGCGGAGAAGGCUGGUUCUUGUACCAACUGGAAGUGCCGCGCACGGGUGAGUCACGCGUGGGGCAUCUGCUUUUGAGUGGGGUACCACCUUUGGACACGAAUGCUAAUCCGGCAUAAACACUUUAAACACAGGGUUGAUGUUUGAAAGUUGCAGUUUCAGCACUGAAAGAUGAUCUCGCGUUGUAUUAGCUGGUUGGUGAGGUAAAGGCGCACCAAGGCGAUGAUACAUAGCCGAACUGAGAGGGUGAUAGGCCACAUUGGGACUGAGACACGGCCCAAACUCCUACGGGAGGCAGCAGUAGGGAAGCUUCGGCAAUGGACGAAAGUCUGACCGAGCAACGCCGCGGGAGUGAAGAAGGUUUUCGGAUCGUAAAACUCUGUUGGUAGAGAAGAACGUUGGUGAGAGUGGAAAGCUCAUCAAGUGACGGUAACUACCCAGAAAGGGACGGCUAACUACGUG
rnacentral:rRNA from 1 species